GAAGAAGGUGCCUGCUUCUCCUUUGCCUUCCAGCAUGACUAUGACAGUGGGGCCCUGGAGAAUGACAGAUUUACAAGAUGGAGACGACCUAGAUCCCUGAGUGACUGCAUGGAGGAUAGCACCCCCACCAACUUGAGCACCCUGAUUUCUUGUUACCUGUACUAGAAAUAACAUUUCAUCAUGUAGAAUCAUUAAACAUCUGAGUCUAUUUGCUACGGUGGCUCAGUCCGUCCUAAAUGACACACUGCUCUACUUAACUUCAGGAACGGGAAAAUGAAUACUCAGUAAUGAGGAGCCCCUUAUAGAUUUCAGCAAGAUAUUGAUUACUUCAUGUAGACUACACUAUUACUUUGUGUAGACAAGGCUGAGAAACAAGGAUGUUGCUGACCCAGGUCAGAGAAGUAGUACUGACUGAACAACCAAACCUAAAGAAAAACCCACUGAUGCCUGGGCUAAGUCAUGGAGUGCCUUCGAUUUCAGCGGACGGGACCACACCCUGAUUGACGGAGUUUGAGAAAACCAUGAAAUGUGGACAAACGGAGACAGCAAAUAUAGAGAGACCUAUUUGGAGAAGUUUUGCUAUCAGAUGAACAGGUCAGAGUCACAGAUGUUCACUGCAGGCUCAUGAGCUUGAAAGUCUCUUUCACUACUAAAGAGCAUUGACUCCGUGGAGCACCUACUAUGUGCCAGCACAUUGCUUGUCCAG